UGGGGAAUUUUGGACAAUGGGCGCAAGCCUGAUCCAGCAAUGCCGCGUGCAGGAUGAAGGCCUUCGGGUUGUAAACUGCUUUUGUACGGAGCGAAAAGGUCUGCCCUAAUACGGUGGGCUCAUGACGGUACCGUAAGAAUAAGCACCGGCUAACUACGUGCCAGCAGCCGCGGUAAUACGUAGGGUGCGAGCGUUAAUCGGAAUUACUGGGCGUAAAGCGUGCGCAGGCGGUUAUAUAAGGCAGAUGUGAAAUCCCCGGGCUCAACCGGGGACCUGCAUUUGUGACUGUAUAGCUAGAGUACAGUAGAGGGGGAUGGAAUUCCGCGUGUAGCAGUGAAAAGCGUAGAUAUGCGGAGGAACACCGAUGGCGAAGGCAGUCCCCUGGGCCUGCACUGACGCUCAUGCGCGAAAGCGUGGGGAGCAAACA
rnacentral:rRNA from 1 species